CUCUCUUCAAGGUGCUGUGACAUAAGAAACGGUAAUUGCGGUGAUGGGGUUGCUUCCUAAGGCAAAGAGAUGCUGUACCCCAUCCCAGUGGCUUUCUACCGACCGUGGCCAUUUAUCUGAAGGUAAGACAACAUUUGGGACCUCUGAGGACACAAGCCCAGGCCUAGGAGCUGUAGAGCCAGGCCUGACUGCUCCAUCCUGGCACGGAGCAGCCUGAUGUGCCGGGACCAGGGGAGGAACGCCAUCUGGCUGGCACUGCUGCACACUCGCCGAGCCUUCCUGUAGCCCCAGACUUUGUGGUACCCAUUAUCAUCACGCCUGUCAUCAUUGACCCAUCUUCUUGGUGGGGUAAGGAUGAUGCAUGAUGAAGGUCCUUCACUCCUACAGCCCCCUUACACCUGGCAGCAGACGAGCAGAGUGGCCUCUUUGAGAGCACAGAGGAUGGUAGCACCCUACCU
rnacentral:lncRNA from 1 species